rnacentral:lncRNA from 1 species
AUUAUUGAGCAUGGUUUUACAUGUACAUGUCUUACGAAGGUUUUGCAUGGCAUGCUAGGGUUUUUAUAAAACCUGUUUAUACCAUAUUUAGGGCCUCGUAUUUAGAUCUCGUACAAAUACUCGGGGGACUGAUAAAGGAAGGGGCAAAUAUGUAAUAAGUGAGGAGUCCUUAUUCUAUAAAAGGACCCUUCAUCCUCACAAUUAGGGGAGGCGAAUUCCUAGGCCCUCUCACCCCCUCUCAACGCUCUCACUCUCAGAGCUCUCUCUCCCUCAAAUAAAUACAAUCAGUGUGGACGUAGCCCAAACCUUGGGGUGAACCACGAUACAUCUUGUGUUAUUUACAUUUCAUGUAGAUUCACGACCGGAUUUACGUUGUUCCAAGACCUCCGGUUUUGUGCAUCAACAUUUGGCGCCGUCUGUAGGAAACGACAGGAAAAGUUAUGUCGGUUAUCUCUCAAUUUCUCACCUUUGUCGUAAAUCUGCAAAAUCUGCAAAAUCAGCAAAAUUCGCAAAAUCAGCAAAAACCCACAGAGACACAAACACACUCUCUCACUCUCUCUCAUCACUCCAGUAGAGUCGAGACAAGACGAGGAAGACCAGAGAAAUUUCAAAACGAAUUGCCUGUUGCUUUUGUAUUCAAAAAGCAAAAGCAUACAGAAAAAUCCACCUUUCUCGUCUUGCCUAUCCAAUCUCAAAACCCUUUCUUUCUGCACAGAGAGCGACGCUCGACCUCAUAGACUUGCUCCGAUACAAUCUCUCUUGGGUAUGGAUCUCGGAACCCACCAACCGCAUUUACAAGCACAGCUUGAUCUCUUCCGACGACUCAAUAUCCGGCAAGAAAGGCAAUGGUUCUGGCAAAUCUAGCAAGGCAGAUUCAGGGAAUCAAAUCUCUCAUCUUUCUGUCUUGUCUCUCUACCUUGAUCGAUGACGUGAUGGAGCUCAAGGCCUGGAUGGGUUGAAUGGUGGAGGAACUCAACACCGGCCUCUGCGAUAGGAGCUCGGCAGCGACAGGAUCCCAACCUGGUGACUUGUACAGGCACCCAGCGCACGACUCGGGCGGGUCGACCAAGUCAGAUAACUUCGCUAGGUCUGACUACCUGGAUUGAUACGGGGCUCCUGCAAGAAAAGCAAUACAAAAAGAGUGGUGAAAUCAAACGGCCCGAUUCAUACGGGGCGGGUCAUUCCGGGCCCUACCAAUCCGAUGGUCACGCAUCUGCUCACGAAUCUUUACCAGUUCACCAUGGCCUACGCUUACUAGAAAGACAGCAAGCACAACGAACGAGCCGUGUUUGAUUUGUAUUUCCGGAAGAACCCCUUCGACAACGAAUACAUAAUCUUUACCGGUUUGGAAGAAUGCAUCAGAUUCAUUGUUAAUUUCAAAUUAACUGAGGAUGAAAUUACUUUCGUCCGCGAAUCGUUGUCUUCUUCUUGUGAAGAUGGAUUCUAUGACUAUUUUCGCGUUAGGGUUAUUUCUGUCUUGGUCAAUGAUAGGCGGACAUCAGAAGCAGACCUUUAUGGAACCAACAAACUAAUUCAGUUGAGAGAGUGUUGCCGCACCACCACCAGCAGGCAUAUCAAGUUCAUAAGGUUGGAAAGCCUGUAAAGCCAUAAUUUUUUAAGUAAUUCAAUGCCAUCAUGAAGGAAACAUUCUUUUCAAAUGAGCCCUUGCGUGCUUUCAAAGACCAAACGAAGAGGAAGAUGUUGGUUCUCGGUCUUCAAGCUCUCUUCCCGAUAUUUGGGUGGGUGAGGGAGUGCCAUUCAGAACGUGAUAGAGACAGAAGUGACCACGAGGGUGACAGGGACCGAGAGAAGGAUAAAGAGCGGCCAUGUCAAAGCAGAAAAGCAAAUCAGAAGAAAAACAAAGAUGGGGGAAAGCAAAAGCAAAAGAAAAUCAACCAGGCCAUCCCUUCAGCAUUAAAGGAGCCAUGUGCUCCACCGAGGCCACGAAAGCCCUUACCACGAUGGUUUCUAUUUUUGUCACAAUUACCCUGUUGCCCUUAACCAUGUCAUCAAGCGACAUAUCCAAAGCAAGAAGCAGAAAGAAAAAGAAAAAGAAAGUGAAAAGAGAAAGCAAAAGGGAAGCACAUGUAAUUUAUUUUUAUUAUCUUUCAGAGACAUCUGUAUAAACCCCAUCAGAGGGUAAUAUGUAUAAACCCCAUCAGAGGGUAAUAAAAAAAAAACGACAAAGCCCAAAAUAAAUGGGUUGGAAUGUUUUGUGGAGAGCGAAGGCCCAUAAGUCUAAAAUAGCACCAACCAGGUCAUUAAAAGUACGCCCAAUACUCCAAAAUUAUUCGGCAACCCGUUGCUAUUACCACCAACCAGGUGAUGAAAUGUACAACCCGUACUCUAAUAUCAUUUGGCAACUAGCCAUUCAUGCCAUCAACCAGGUGAUGAAAUGUACAACCCGUACUCUCCUUCAUGCCACCAACCAAGUGAUCAAAAGUACGCCCAGUACUCCAAAUUAUACAUGAGCAUUACUCAUGUCAUUCAUACAUAAACAUUCAUGAGCAUCACUUAUGACAAUUAUACAUAAACAUUCAUGACCAUCAUUCAUGUUAACAUUCAUGAGCAUCGCUCAUGUUAACAUUCAUGAGCAUCACUCAUGACAACAUCCAUGAGCAUCACUCAUGUCAAUCAACAUAAACAUUCAUGAGCAUCACUCAUGUCAAUCAGCUUCAAAAGCUUCAUUUACAGAGCUACAGCUUCAAAAGCUUCAUUUACAGAGCUCUAGCUUCAAAAGCUUCAUUUACAAAAGCUACAGCUUCGAAAGCUCCAUUUACAGAGCUUUAGCUUUAAGGCUUCACUUGCAAAGCUUCACCUACAAAGCUUCAGUGCAGGGUAUACAAAAACCGUCUCCGAACAACCGUCACUUCGGCCCAUACAUGGAUUCAAUUUGAAGUCUCCAGCCAACAGACUCUAUUGACCGAAGACUUAGGGAACUACAUUAUGUACCAUAUAUUGGGCCUCAACCGGGCCUCAUGAAAAAUACUUGGGGGACUUAGCCCAUCACUUAUGUAUUGAGGAGCGAGCCCUUAUUUUAUAAAAGGGACUCCCUCACCUUCGUUAGAGAGCAUCGCUGCCAGCUGAGCAACCGCCUCGCCACGAGCAUCACUCCUAACCCAUUAUUCAUGUACUGAGGAGCGAGCCCUUAUUUUAUAAAAGGGACUCCCUUACCAUCAUUAGAGAGCAUCAACUCUAGCCUAUCAUUCAUGUAUUGAGGAGCGAGCCCUUAUUAUAUAAAAGGGACUCCCUCACCUUCAAUGCCACAAGCCGAGCCAACCAAGGCAACAUAAGCCACAAGCCGAGCAACCUCGCAGCAUGUGUUACUUCUAGUUGAGCAUCAGUUCAAGACAACAUCUAGUUACUUCGGCCCACACAUGGACUGAAUUUCAAGUCUUCAGCAAAAAGACUCUCUUAAUUGAAGACUUAGGGGACUACUGUUUGUACCAUAUUUAGGGCCUCGUAUUUAGAUCUCGUACAAAUACUCGGGGGACUUAAAUGUAAUUAUGUGAUAAAGGAAGGGGAAAAUAUGUAAUAAGUGAGGAGUCCUUAUUCUAUAAAAGGACCCCUCACCCUUACAAUUAGGGGAGGCGAAUUCCUAGGCCCUUUCACCCCCUCUCAACGCUCUCACUCUCAGAGCUCUCUCUCCCUCAAAUAAAUACAAUCAGUGUGGACGUAGCCCAAACCUUGGGGUGAACCACGAUACAUCUUGUGUUAUUUACAUUUCAUGCAGAUUCACGGCUGGAUUUAUGUUGUUUCAAGACCUCCGGUUUUGUGCAUCAACAAAACCCAUAUGUAGUAUUAUAUAUGUUUUCAAAAUAGGGGAUUAGUAUGUUCAUAAAGAAAAUGGUUUUCCUAUUACUAGUAUUAUUAUUGUAAACUUUGGUCCACUCACCUUUUCUGUUUUUGUGCCCCCUCAGGAGUUAGUAUUGAGGCAUAUGGUCCCGGUGUCAGGACUCUACAACAUAGAUAUUCUCGAGUCUUCUCAGUAUAGGUAUCAUUCCUUUGUUCGUAUAUUUUCCUAUUAAUUCUUCCAUAUUAUUCUUAGUAGUCGUAUG